rnacentral:rRNA from 1 species
CUUUGCCACUUGCUCUAGAGACGGAUCCCAUCAGAACUCCGUAGUUAAGCGUGCUAGGACGGGAGUAGUCCUAGGAUGGGUGACCCCCUGGGAAGUCGGGCCGUCACAGA